rnacentral:rRNA from 1 species
GGGUAAACCGAAAAGGCGGGGUUCGAACGAGCCCAACCUCCCACCCGUGUUUACUGUUACCGCGUUGCCUCGGCGGGCCCACUGGGGCCUGGCCCCGGUCGCCGGGGGGCUUCUGCCCCCGGGCCCGCGCCCGCCGAAGCACCCUAGAACCCUGCCUGAACAGUGAGUCUGAGUGAGAUUUUAAAUCAUUAAAACUUUCAACAACGGAUCUCUUGGUUCCGGCAUCGAUGAAGAACGCAGCGAAAUGCGAUAAGUAAUGUGAAUUGCAGAAUUCCGUGAAUCAUCGAAUCUUUGAACGCACAUUGCGCCCCCUGGCAUUCCGGGGGGCAUGCCUGUCCGAGCGUCAUUUCUGCCCUCCAGCACGGCUGGGUGUUGGGCGCUGUCCCCCCGGGGACACGCCCCAAAAGCAGUGGCGGCGCCGCGUCGGGUCCUCGAGCGUAUGGGGCUCUGUCACCCGCUCGGGAGGGACUCGGUCGGCGCCGGUCUUCCCUUUAGGCCGCCCUUCGGGGUGCGCCUCUUCCGGUUGACCUCGGAUCAGGUAGGGCUACCCGCUGAACUUAAGCAUAUCAAUAAGCGGAGGA